rnacentral:tRNA from 1 species
GCCUGGGUGGCUCGGUCGGUUGAGCAUCUGACUUCAGCUCAGGUUAUGAUCUCCUGGUUCGUGGGUUCAAACCCCACCUCGGGCU